rnacentral:lncRNA from 1 species
AAAGCAGAAACAGACUCUGGCUGUCAAGGCUUCCUCACUACUAAGCAGAGUGAACAUUUCCAGAUGCCAACAUGAGGCAGUGAAAUGCUGUGCUAAGAUCCUGAGUGAUGUUGAGAAAUGAACCCAGAGGCCUUGACUGGGACAAGAACCUGUGCUGAAAUUUUAGGAGCUGCUUCAAGGGAACCCAAAUUAAGAUUCUGUGUGAAAACAUUCACAAAAACCUACUAA